CUAACUCUUAACCCUAAACCUAACUCAAAUAGAAAAUGGCAUCACCUGUCACGUGAUGCCAAACCCCUAAGCUGGAAAUCCCCUUUUUCUUCUUCAGGUUUUACUGUCUUUGUGGGAGCAUGUAUGCAUAAACCUGGAUAACACAUACACACCUACUCUAACUCAGCUGUUUUAUGGGUUUCCGGCGUUUGUUCAGUUAAAUUGUAAAAGCCACAGAUGAAGGAGAGGUUUGUAACCCUAAAACUCCAAAAACACUGCCUGCCAGCUCCAGCUCCCUAUCUCAAUCUGUCUCUCUCUCUCUUACCCUUAAGUCCAUUAAAGUAGAGUGUGUUUGUCUAAGCAAGAAAGGCAGUGUUUCCAGCUCCAGCGAGCAGACCUGAUCCCCAGCAGCUGUUGCUUUAUUAAAGUGGAUCAGAGUUUUCCCUAGACACAGCCCGCAUCCCAAAUUGCCCCCUAUUCCCUAAAUAGAGAACUACUUUUAACCACAGAGUUACAGGCCCUGGUCAAAAGUAGAGCACUAUAUAUGGGGUAGUGUUUCAUUUGAGACGACCCCAGAGAGAGACACAGCGCCUGUUCACAUUCUGCCCCAGCCACUAACUAAACCCAUUACAGCAGUACACAACUCACACGUCUACCUGGAUGGUCCUGUUUCCACCUCACUAAGCCUUUCCCUGAAACAGGUUCCCCUGAAACACCUUACACCCUGACUUCGGAUCUGCGACCACCCCGAAACCACUGUCACUCUGCGUCGUGUUACUGUGGCUAAGAGAUGCUUAAAAGAGCUUGUCUGCAGUGGGGCAGUCUGGGUGUGUGAGAGUGGGGGUGACAGAGGGGUGUCUCCGUGCUGCUGUGUCCCCUCCACGGCUACUGUUCCAGAGGGUUCUAUCCCCGUUACAGGAAACGGUUAUUUCAAGGCAGCUGAUUCUGGAUCAUCUGGAGUUGAGAUGGGAGCCUUAUUGAGUUACCUGUCAGCAGUGCAGAGCAGCAGGCAUGUUGAGAAGUUAACAGAGCAUGCACAAGCUUCUCACAAUACACAGUGGAUAUGAAUGACCUGAUCCUAACCACGUUACAUCCUGUAGACGGUGUACACAUUUGGGCUGCCGGAGGACUUUCUGGACCCUCCGGACAACCACGGCCUGGCUGGUGAGAACAGGCACAGGACAAUAUACACCUGUUUCUGUCAACUACUGUUGUUUCUCUGCCCUGAAAAACAUGCCAGGCCGGGCUUUCACAAACGCAGUUUGAGGAGACCAUCGAGGAGAGAGAAAGGCUAACUCACGGGCAAGUGGAGCAGCUGGAGAAAGAACAAAGCAGCCGAUGACCCAGAGAGUCAUCUUAACACAAAAACUUGUUUAUUGCUCCAAUUAUUAUGCACUGCUGAAACACGUCCUUUUAAGGCCUUGGGACCCAACCUAUGUGGACAGUUAAUUACUUGAUCUUUGAGCCUCCAUUCAUGUAAGCCCAGUAGUUGACUCUGUCAGCAGUGGCUCAGUGAUUUGUGUUUUUUUGUUUGUACAAAAGAGCUAUAAUGUUUAAUUGGCAGGAGUUAAACCCCGACAAUUUUUGUUCAUUUGUUCAGGUGAAGAACACUUGUUCGCCACAGUGUUGUUGGUGCCUUAUUUAAAACAAAGAAACUAAAUCCUAUAUAAAGCAAAAAGACAAAGAUUCUCAAUCUUUGUUUUUGGCAGGUUUUUAUUUUCCACUCGUCCCGUUGUUUUUGGUUUAGUACAGUUGUGUAUUUCCCCCCAACCAUUUACAAUGAAUAAAAUACCAAAACAGAGCCCUGUGAGACAGUUUGUGACUGUGGCAGGGUUGGAUUUGUUAUUGUCAAAUAACAAAUUAAUGUCUGUCAGUAAGAUCCCUGGAACAGAGAGUCCAAAUAAGUUAUUUAAUUAACAUGUCUGAUGAUUAUUUCUUAAUUCACUUUGUCAAAUUAUGUUCUGCCACCCACAAGUAAUUUG
ensembl:lncRNA